GACGAACGCUGGCGGCGUGCUUAACACAUGCAAGUCGAACGGAAAGGCCCUGCUUUUGUUGGGUGCUCGAGUGGCGAACGGGUGAGUAACACGUGAGUAACCUGCCCUUGUCUUUGGGAUAACUUCAGGAAACUGGGGCUCAUACCGGAUAGGAGCUCCUGCUGCAUGUUGGUGGUUGGAAAGUUUCGGCGGUUGGGGAUGGACUCGCUGCUUAUCAGCUUGUUGGUGUGGUAGUGGCUUACCAAGGGUUUGACGGGUAGCCGGCCUGAGAGGGUGGACGGCGACAAGGGGACUAAGAUACGGAGCAGAAUCCUACGGGAGGCAGCAGGGGAGAAUAUUGCAGAAUGGGGGGAAGCCUGAUGCAGAAACGCCGGGUGCGGGAUGACGGCCUUCGGGGUGUAAACCGAUUUCGACUGUGACGAAGAGUGAGUGACGGUAAUGGGUAAAGAAGCACCGGCUAACUACGUG
rnacentral:rRNA from 1 species